AACUCUUAUUUGAAACAUCUUAAAAAAAAAUUUAUUGUAAAAAAUAUAUAAAAUAAGUACUUCUAUGAAAAAAGUGUGUAGACGAUAGCUAAUACUUUAAGUACUGCAUAGAAAAAGUAAUUAAUAGAAAAGGUACUUUUCAUCAGAUUGGACAUGAAGAUGAGGAAUAACACUUUUCAUAUAAUAGAAGCUGAAAUAGGAGCAAUAUCCAUUUGUACGCUUGCACGUAUAUAUUCCCAUGUAGGCACAAACAACUCCAAAAAGUUUUCAACGCCCGCAUGGGUCCUUUACACGAGGGAGGGAUGCUGCAUGGGCACAUUUAGCGUCCCAAUUAAGCAGUACUAAUCAUCUUCGUUUGUCAUACAAAUGAACUCUAGCAGCUGCCUAUAUAUAUGCCCUCAGUCCCUCCUCACAUGUCACAUCUUAUCUACAAAUUAUGCAAAGCGUAGAAAAUGAAUAGGUAGGUAUAGGUAGCUAGCUAUGAUCUUUAGUGUAUAUAUAUGUGUGUAUGGAAUAUUUGAUUGGUGAUGGAGCUUUGCAUGAAGAGGCUGAGAGUGUAAUGCAGCCAAGGAUGACUUGCUAGAACCAUAUAUGUAAUCAAUUAUAUAUAUGUGUGUGUAUGAUAAUAUAUAUAUAUAUAUAUAUAUAUAUAUAUAUGCAUGAUUUGUAUAUGGGCAAGUUGUACUUGGCUAUGUUGGGCUCUCUUCUUCUCAUGUAGGGCCUGAUAGCAUAUGCAGCCAAAGAAUGACCCCAGCUUGUGCACGUGACGUUACAUAUAUAGAGGUGGAGAGUUGAGUGCAGCCAAGGAUGAUUUACCGGCAUCCGAUAUUUGCAUUUUCUUUUUAGCCAUUAUUAAUUUGUAUUUUCUUUGCUGGUGAGUCAUCCUUGGCUACAUUAGGCUCUCUUCUUAUGCAAUCGAUACUUCGAGUUUCUUGAGUACAAAAGGAGCAUAUCAAUUAAAGAAGCCACUGCAAGGUUUUCUUUUGGAGCCUUUACAAAUGAUCACGAGUACUUUUUUAUGUCCAGUGCACAACAGUGUUGAGUUAGGUGAUCUGUGUGGGUGCCAAAAGAGAACCAUAUCAGAUUUAGGUACAUGUUUAUAAAGCUGUGGAGAAAGUUACUGAACCGACAUAUUAGUUGGCAUCCUUACGCAGAAUGAAAACAUUUGUUGAUGGUGAAGUUCCAAUUGCUGGGUCUCAUGCUUAGAAUGAGAAGAUAGUCAAAUGUAGGGAUGACUAACUGGCGGGGGAAAUUAAUAUAAGUUAAUACGAACAAAAAAUGAAAAAGGGAAUGCCUGCCCCGGUCAAGUCAUCCUUGGCUGCACUCUACUCUCCUUUUCUCCAUAUGUAUAUGUAUCAUCACGUGCGCGAACUGGGGAAGCUCUGCAGCUGCAUAUCUUGCUAUAUACCUUCAUAUAUAUAUAUAUAUAUAUAUACCAAGCCAUUUAAGGUCUUACAUGAGAAGAAGAGAGCCUAACAUAGCCGAGAACAACUUGCCGGUGAACAGAUAAGAACGAUGCAUUGAACUAUCACUUUAAUUGCAUAGUUCAAGGAUGGUUCCGGCAAGUCAUCCUUGGCUGCAUUACACUCUCUGCCUCUUCAUGCAAGGUUUCUUCAGCCAUCAAUUCCCCCACACACAUACACACACCACGUUGACACACAUAUAUGCUAAACCUCUAGCUAGCUCCCUAUUCAUUUUCUUUGCCUUGCUUAAUUUGUAGAUGAGAUGUGAGAGUAGUGAGGGUGUAUAUAUAGGUAGCAGCUAGAGCUCUUUUGUUGACAAAGAUCAGAGUACUUACGGGCAGUACAGGGGUUAGUCAUGUGUGGGUCAUAUAUAUUAUUUCCUUCAAUAUUCUCUUCUCUCUCCCUCUCUCUAAUAUGAUUAUUAAUGAAAAUUGAAGCAUGCAUUGGGGCAUCUUCCAAAAAGGGCAAGAGUCCACCAAACAUUGCCAGCUUGCCAAAGGGAACCAUUGCUUGCAUUGUCUCAAAUCCAUUCCCCUCUGUAGCUAGUGAUCCGGUCAUGAAGACUCAGCUGCUUGAUUUGGACGCCAAGUGCCCAUGCAUUGUCCCUAAGCUUUACACCAUUAAAAGACCCAACAACCCGUUGAUAACUUAUUCAUUGCUUUGUGCAUAUGGGAAUCUAUACCCUCUUGCCAUGCAACCAUUAAGCACCGGCCACCUGCCCCAACACCACAACAGCUGUACUGGUUUCUGUUCUUAUUUUUUAAAAUAAAUAUUAUUACCUUUUCAAUUAUUCUGUAUAUAUUUUUGUUUUCUGUGUUUU